AGGACUCUUGUCCCAGAAGCACAGAUUCCUGGCAUUCUCUGACGGGACAAGAUGGGAGAUGGGGGCAGGGUAGAGGGUGCAAGCCCCACCUAGGGCAGUGGCCACAGCGGGAACAGGGGCAGACAGACCCUGGAGCCUGGGAAGGAAGCACCAUGCCGGCGGGGACAGCAGCUGGAGCCUGGGCCCUGGUUCUUGCUCUGUGGGGAGCCGUAGCUGGUGGUCAGAACAUCACAGCCCGGAUUGGAGAGCCACUUGUGCUAAGCUGUAAGGGGGCCCCUAAGAAGCCGCCCCAACAGCUAGAGUGGAAACUGAACACAGGAAGAACUGAAGCUUGGAAGGUCCUCUCUCCCCAGGGAGGCCCCUGGGACAGCGUGGCUCGAAUCCUCCCCAAUGGUUCCCUCCUCCUUCCAGCCAUUGGAAUUGUUGAUGAGGGGACUUUCCGGUGUAGGGCAACUAACAGGCGAGGGAAGGAGGUCAAGUCCAACUACCGAGUUCGAGUCUACCAGAUUCCUGGGAAGCCAGAAAUUGUGGAUCCUGCCUCUGAACUCACAGCCAGUGUCCCUAAUAAGGUGGGGACAUGUGUGUCUGAGGGAAGCUACCCUGCAGGGACCCUUAGCUGGCACUUAGAUGGGAAACUUCUGAUUCCUGAUGGCAAAGAAACACUUGUGAAGGAAGAGACCAGGAGACACCCCGAGACGGGACUCUUCACACUGCAGUCAGAGCUGAUAGUGAUCCCCGCCCAAGGAGGAACCACCCAUCCUAUCUUCUCCUGCAGUUUCAGCCUGGGCCUUCCCCGGCGCAGACCCCUGAACACAGCCCCCAUCCAGCUCCAAGUCAGGGAACCUGGGCCUCCAGAGGGCAUUCAGCUGUUGGUUGAGCCUGAAGGUGGAACAGUGGCUCCUGGUGGGACUGUGACCCUGACCUGUGCCAUCUCUGCCCAGCCCCCUCCUCAGGUCCACUGGAUAAAAGAUGGUGCACCCUUGCCCCUUGCCCCCAGCCCUGUGCUGCUCCUGCCUGAGGUAGGGCAUGCGGAUGAGGGCACCUACAGCUGCGUGGCCACCCACCCUAGCCACGGACCUCAGGAAAGCCCUCCUGUCAGCAUCAAGGUCACAGAAACCAGCAAUGAGGGGCCAGCUGAAGGUGAGGGACUGGACUAAAGUCAGAGAGGAGUGUAUGGCUGCCGCAUGUGACUCAGUUCACAAGGAAGGAGUGGUGUGUGCUAGAGCUAUACCCUCAAUCUUCCCUAUGUCCCUACAGGCUCUGUGGGAAGGCCCCAGAAAGCCAGGAGGAUGAGGAGGAACGUGCAGAGCUGAAUCAGUCAGAAGAAGCGGAGACGCCAGAGAAUGGUGUCGGGGGACCUUAAGAGAACCCAGGUCGACCCUGUGUCAUGGCCCCAGACCAGCUCCCCCACAUACAAUCCCAAUUCCACCUUGAGGCACUUUCUUCUCCAACCAGAGCCCACACGAUCCAUGCUGAGUAAACACCUGACACGAUGUG